rnacentral:rRNA from 1 species
AGUUCGGAUCCUGGCUCAGAUUGAACGCCGGCGGAUGACACAUGCAAGUCGAACGGCAGCACGGACUUCGGUCUGGUGGCGAGGGCGAACGGUGAGUAAUGCAUCGGAACGCCUAGUAGCGGGGGAUAACUACGCGAAAGGUAGCUAAUACCGCAUACCCUUCGGGGGAAAGCGGGGACCUUCGGGCCUCGCACUAUUAGAGCGGCCGAUAUCGGAUUAGCUAGUUAUGGGGUAACGGCUCACCAAGGCGAUGAUCCGUAGUUGGUUUUGAGAGGAUUGACUGACACACUGGGACUUGAGACACGGCCCAGACUCCUACGGGAAAGGCGGUGCGGGGAAUUUUGACAAUGGGAAACUCCUGAUCCAGCCAUCCUGGCGUGUGCGAUGAAGGCCUUCGGGUUGUAAAGCACUUUGGCAGGAGAAGAAACGGCACGGGAUAAUACCCCGUGCAACUGACGGUACUGCAGAAUAAGCACCGGCUAACUACGUGCCAGCAGCCGCGGUAAUACGUAGGGUGCAAGCGUUAAUCGGAAUUACUGGGCGUAAAAGCGUGCGCAGGCGGUCUGGAAAGAAAGAUGUGAAAUCCCAGAGCUUUAACUUUUGGAACUGCAUUUUUAACUACCGAGCUAGAGGUCAGAGGAGGUGGAAUUCCGCGUGUAGCAGUGAAAUGCGUGUAGAUAUGCGGAGAACACCGAUGGCGAAGGCAGCCUCUCUGGGAUAACACUGACGCUCAUGCACGAAAGCGUGGGGAGCAAACAGGAUUAGAUACCUGGUAGUCCACGCCCUAAAACGAUGUCAAAUCAUUGCUGGGGCCUUCGGGCCUUGGCGCAGCUAACGCGGUUGACCGCCUGGGGAGUACGGUCGCAAGAUUAAAACUCAAAGGAAUUGACGAGACUCCCGCACAAGCGGUGGAUGAUGUGGAUUACCCCGAUGCAACGCGAAAACCUUACCUACCCUUGACAUGUCUGGAAUCCUGAAGAGAUUUGGGAGUGCUCGCAAGAGAACCGGAACACAGGUGCUGCAUGGCUGUCGUCAGGGGGCUCGUGUCGUGAGAUGUUGGGUUAAGUCCCGGCAACGAGCGCAACCUCUGGCCGCUGAAUAGCAUGAAAGGGCAAUUUAAUGAGACUGCCGGUGACAAACCGGAGGAAGGUGGGGAUGACGUCAAGUCCUCAUGGCCCUGCGGGUGGUGGUUUCUCACAUACGGUACAAUGGUCGGGACGAGGCUGCUAACCUGGCGAGGAGCCAAUCCAGAAACCCGAUCGUAGUCCGGAUCGCAGUCUGCACCUGACAGAAGUCGGAAUCGCUAGUAAUCGCGGAUCAGCAUGUCGCGGUGAAUACGUUCCCGGGUCUUGUACACACCGCCCGUCGCCACCAUGGGAGUGGGUUUUACCAGAAGUAGUUAGCCUAACCGUAAGGGAGGGCGAUUACUACGGUAGGAUUCAUGACUGGGGUGAAGUCGUAACAAGGU